GACGAACGCUGGCGGCGUGCUUAACACAUGCAAGUCGAACGGAAAGGCCCUGCUUGCCGGGUACUCGAGUGGCGAACGGGUGAGUAACACGUGGGUGAUCUGCCCUGCACUUCGGGAUAAGCUUGGGAAACUGGGUCUAAUACCGGAUAGGAACCAUCUUUAGUGUGGUGGUUGGAAAGUUUUUUCGGUGUAGGAUGAGCUCGCGGCCUAUCAGCUUGUUGGUGGGGUAAUGGCCUACCAAGGCGGCGACGGGUAGCCGGCCUGAGAGGGUGUACGGCCACAUUGGGACUGAGAUACGGGCCAGACUCCUACGGGAGGCAGCAGUGGGGAAUAUUGCACAAUGGGCGCAAGCCUGAUGCAGCGACGCCGCGUGGGGGAUGAAGGCCUUCGGGUUGUAAACUCCUUUCGCUAGGGACGAAGCUUUGUUGUGACGGUACCUAGAUAAGAAGCACCGGCUAACUACGUG
rnacentral:rRNA from 1 species